rnacentral:rRNA from 1 species
UACAGAGGGGGCAAGCGUUGUUCGGAAUUACUGGGCGUAAAGGGCGCGUAGGCGGCCUUCUAAGUCGGACGUGAAAUCCCCGAGCUCAACUCGGGAACUGCGUCCGAUACUGACAGGCUUGAAUCCGGGAGAGGGAUGCGGAAUUCCAGGUGUAGCGGUGAAAUGCGUAGAUAUCUGGAGGAACACCGGUGGCGAAGGCGGCAUCCUGGACCGGCAUUGACGCUGAGGCGCGAAAGCUAGGGGAGCAAACAGG